rnacentral:rRNA from 1 species
GAUGAACGCUGGCGGCGUGCCUAAUUCAUGCAAGUCGAGCGAACAGAUGAGGAGCUUGCUCCUCUGACGUUAGCGGCGGACGGUUGAGUAACACGUGGAUAACCUACCUAUAAGACUGGGAUAACUUCGGGAAACCGGAGCUAAUACCGGAUAAUAUAUUGAACCGCAUGGUUCAAUAGUGAAAGACGGUUUUGCUGUCACUUAUAGAUGGAUCCGCGCCGCAUUAGCUAGUUGGUAAGGUAACGGCUUACCAAGGCAACGAUGCGUAGCCGACCUGAGAGGGUGAUCGGCCACACUGGAACUGAGACGCGGUCCAGACUCCUACGGGAGGCAGCAGUAGGGAAUCUUCCGCAAUGGGCGAAAGCCUGACGGAGCAACGCCGCGUGAGUGAUGAAGGUCUUCGGAUCGUAAAACUCUGUUAUUAGGGAAGAACAAAUGUGUAAGUAACUAUGCACGUCUUGACGGUACCUAAUCAGAAAGCCACGGCUAACUACGUG